rnacentral:lncRNA from 1 species
GUUCUGGGCUUAGAAUCCUGGUUGGCUGACUUCUGGCUUAUUGCUCUUUUCACAGCCGUAAGCUGUCUCCUGCAAUUGAUUUCUUCAGAGUCCAUGGCUAAUUCUUUAGGAUACCCUAAUCGUGGAUGGAGCUGGAGCAGGUUGGCCCCAGAGAUUGGAUCCUGGGUUGCAGAGGAGGAAGAUGCGUACUUUCCACUCUCCAUGCUGACAUAGACCGUUUUAUAUAUAUUUAUUUUUUCAUAUCACAUAAUUUCAAUCACCUUCCUGCACUAAAAAACGUAGAUUUCUCCAACAUCAUUCUUGAGGCUUGCAGUGGAUUCUAUGAGAUGAAGGGCCAUGAAAUUCUUCAUGCUCUGGGAUUUUUGUUUUCCUGAAACCUUUGACACAGAGCUUUCAUUGAGAAGAGGAAAUGAAGAAAGAAGCAUGGUUCCAAGUACCAUGAAUAGCCCCACCCGAGGGGAGCAGUUUAUGUGUGCAGAAAGCGCCCUGGGGGCUGAACAUCGUCACUAUGCUAGGCAAGGAUCCCAGUGAGCAAGGAAAGGCCUGCAGAUGCCUCUCCCAACGAAGACCUGUGCACC